AUGGUUUCCCUAUUUAUCCCUGCUUUUAUUAAGAACCUAUUCUGCUGCUGUUUUUGUUUCAUGAAAGUUAGGCUUAGCUAGAGUUGCUUGUUGUUUUCCUUUUUGAUUAAUUGGAGCAUUCCUCUUGGUUUGAUUAGUGGAGAUAGCGCCCUUUUUAUUUGAGACAGAGCUUUGCAAUUUGGUUUUUUGCAUGUUAGGUUUGGGAUUGUGAAUAGUAACUAUUUUUUGCCCCUGACUUUUAGGGAUUUACUUGCCUUUUUUGGCAUGAUUAUUUCCUUUCUAGGAGUGGCCAGCAUGAUGAAUGAUUUAUUAAUAUUAUUUUUUGGGGGGAUUCAGUUUUCUGUAGGAAUCUUAAGUUUUAAGAUGCAAAGUAUAUAUAAUUUCUUAAUGAGUCGAAGGCCAAAUUUUGGAGCAUUGCAAAGUUGUUUAAUCAACUUUUUUGUUGGCGAGCGAAGACGCUAUGUUUGGUGAACAUGUUCUAUUUGAUUAAUUUUUGUGGUGCUUGUACUUUGUUUGGUUGUUUGUGGAAUUAUCCUUUCUAUUAGAGAAAUUGGACACUUUUAGUUUUGGAUAGUAGCUACUUUAUUAGAAAUGCUUCACUUUCUAAACUGUUGCAGAUUAUUUUAUCAUCAAUGUUGUAUACAGUGUCUACCAUACUAGUUUGCCAUCUUUAAUAAAUGAGUUGCAGAACUCACACUAGGGUGGAUUAAGAACUAUAUAGUUGAUAGUUCAUGAUCUGAUUUGAGUCUCCUUAAAUCACUUCAAUUUUUAUCCAUCUGAGGAUGGUGUGGUGUUUGGAUAAGUUAUAUUACUAAGCAAAUUAUUUUACCCUUUUAUCAGGAACUAUCUGGCUCUGUUUCUAGAUUAAUAAUGGACCGAAGCUCCAUUGAUUAUGGUUAUUGGGAUGGAGAAGGUGAUGCUGAAUGAACUCUAAAGAUGGUAGAGACAGGAGUAAUUGGUAGCGAGAUUGCCAUGGCCGAAGAGUCGGGCAUCUGGUCUAAACCCAACAGUGACAAUUUCACUCAAUGCAUAGAACUGCCAAGAAAUCAUAAGAGGCUAGAUGCAAAUAUCAAUGGCUAUAUCCUCAUAAACGCUAACGGUGGCUUGAACCAGAUGAGAUUUGGGGUCUGGCAGCAUUGAUUUCUGAUGGUAUAUUAUGAAAAGUUAGGUAGCAAAAGGUACCAUCUUAAUAAUUAUUACUCCACCUAGUAAUUGAAUUGUUCAUUAGACACUAUUAAUACCGAAUUGUAAUUGUCUCAAUAUGUGACUCACACUACUAUUUUGUGAUUAAAUUUAAUCUUAGUAAUUCUUAUCUGAUUGAGAAACAGUUGUGAUUGGCUUAUUUGUAGUAUAUAUAACUAUAUAGCUCUUAAUUCUAUGGAUUAAUUUGGUUGUUGGAGAAAUACUAGGUGUUAAUUCUAGACGUUUCACAUUAUAUUAUUUUGGGAGUGAAGUGUUUAUGGGUUGACUUUAGCUCUGUAGAGUGCAUGACUCUAAAAGCAUAGCUAGAGAAUAAAUUGAGAUAUGGAUUAUGAACAUCAAUUUCCAUAACUGAUGCAUGAGUUACAGUGUCACAAAAUUGUUACAUUUUUGCAAAAUGUCAGAAAAUUCAAUGAUGCACAUACAUAUUUUCUUGGAAAAUUGUAAUAGAAACCUGUGUUUUAUUUUGUCACAUGAUGACUUAUUAGGAUUGUGUGUUCUGCUGACACAGAUUUAUGGUGAAGAUGAAUGGUCAUUUGGGACCCAAUGAAUAAGGGCACACGCUACCUAAUAUAUAGUGUUAAUGGAUAUCAGUUGCAUUCUUUACAAUCGAUGGGAGAGAAAAUAGAUAAUAUCGGAGUCUAAGUUUGUGGGGAUGCAGGCAUUGGUCAUGCUGAUUGGUGUGGUGUGUUGCACCAGAUAAUUUAAUUAGAGUUUUUUUGUCGCACUACAUACAAGGUGUGUGUGUUUAAAUGUGAAUGGUAUGAUCGAAGUUCGCGAUGCAAAACACGAACACAUAAGGAGUACAAUAUUACUGAAGUAAAUGUAACCAGAAAAUAUAAGCAUUAAGACCUUUUAUUCUACCUUAAAAUGCACGACAGGUAUAUUAUUUGCCUUAUUCGGGGUCAUGCAAGUCUAAUUGGGAUGUUGUGGUUAAGACUAAGCCAAGAGGUCACAUCAAGUAUAAUAGGCAGAGGGUCAACAACCUUACCAAGUUUAUGACCUAACUCCUUCGAAAAUGGUGGUUGACAUCGGUGAUCCGAUCACCCUUAGGUCGGCUAUUAUGGAUGAUGAUAUCAUUGGCUAGGUAGAUGACGACACACUACCACUAGAGGACGAUCAUCUUUAAGAAGAGGGGGUCGAUGGAGACGAAGAAGAAAAAUAUGAGUUCGAUGAUCAGAAAAUUACCUUAGAAAAGGAGGAUAAUGAGCCAGAGGAAGAAGAUGAUGAAUCUAAAUAAGGUUAUCCUAAAUAUAGUUUAACUAGUUUGUUCUAUACUUAAACCUUAUUUUAGUCAGAUCAUAUAAUUACAAUGCAUGUUAGCGCUAGCCUUAGUUCUAUCUUAUGUAUUUCUUUAUUUCAUUCAUAUUUUUAUACUGUAUGUUUGAUCUUUUAGAUAAUGUAUAAAUCACUUUUUUUUAGAUAAAUUACUAAUUUAUACUUUAAUUACUAGGAAUUGACUAUCAAUUAUUAAUUUUCGUGGUCCAUUAUAGAUUGAAAAACAAAAUUACAAAAAAAUUGUUGUUUUAGUCAAAUUUACCAUAAAAAAUUUUCCAACAAUAACGAUGUUUCAAGGUUUUCUUAAAAAAAAUAAAAAAAAUUAGAGCUACCAUUGGAUUUUCCGAGGGAUAAAUCCAAUGGUAAUCAAGCACAAAGUUUCAACACUUGGAACCACAUUUACCGUCGAAAAAAUUUUGACAGUCACCGGCAUCAGAUGGCUGUUACCUAAACCUCGUGUUCUGCUAGUAAUUUCACCACAAGUUACCACCGAAAAAAAUUCGCCGAUAAAUAUUUAAUAG